GUCCUUCUAUAUUCUAAAAUAUAGAGUAGCAUCGGGUGAAUUGCAAGAAAGUUUUAAGUUUACAUAUAAUUAAAUUAGAACCUCCCCUUUUAGUUAUAUUAUAUAAAAUAACUUGCAGCUAAGCUUAAGUUAGUGCCUAUCUAGUAGAAUAUACUUUACUAGAUAGUGAUUUAAGAAAGUUUAACGACUAAUCGGUGAGUAGCAUUAACAAUAAACCGGACACGAGCGCCCAACAUCUAGUAAUAAAGUACUAGAUGAUGACAUAGUCUAAACUUGAUAGAAAUAUCAAG
rnacentral:ncRNA from 1 species